rnacentral:rRNA from 1 species
UACGUAGGGGGCAAGCGUUGUCCGGAAUCAUUGGGCGUAAAGAGCGUGUAGGCGGCUCGGUAAGUCUGCUGUGAAAGUCCAGGGCUCAACCCUGGAAUGCCGGUGGAAACUGUCGAGCUAGAGUCCGGAAGAGGCGAGUGGAAUUCCUGGUGUAGCGGUGAAAUGCGCAGAUAUCAGGAGGAACACCGGUGGCGAAGGCGGAUCUCUGGGCCAUUACUGACGCUGAGGAGCGAAAGCGUGGGGAGCGAACAGG